rnacentral:misc_RNA from 1 species
CAGGAAAGCAGUGGUUCCAAGGAACAGCAGAUGCUGUGAGGCAAUUUAUUUGGGUUUUUGAGGAUGCCAAGAACAGGAAUGUUGAGAAUAUACUGAUCUUGUCUGGAGAUCAACUUUACCGAAUGGAUUAUAUGGACUUUGUGCAGCAUCAUGUUGACAGCAAUGCUGAUAUCACAAUUUCAUGUGCUGCAGUCAGUGAGAGCCGUGCAUCUGAUUAUGGUUUGGUGAAGAUAGACAACAGGGGACGAAUUGUCCAUUUUGCUGAAAAAC